rnacentral:rRNA from 1 species
GGUGAACGCUAGCGGCAGGCCUAAUACAUGCAAGUCGGACGGGAUUGGGAGCUUGCUCCCAUGAGAGUGGCGCACGGGUGCGUAACACGUAUGUAACCUACCUUUACCAGGGGGAUAGCCUCUCGAAAGAGAGAUUAAGACCGCAUAAUAUGGAGACACAGCAUUGUGAUUUCAUCAAAUAUUUAUAGGGUAAAGAUGGGCAUGCGGAACAUUAGCAGUUGGUAAGGUAAUGGCUUACCAAGGCUACGAUGUUUAGGGGAUCUGAGAGGAUCGACCCCCCACACUGGUACUGA